AGUUUGACUAUGUCCAUUGCCAAUGUCUUUGAGCAACUGUAACGACUAUAAGAAAAACGAUUAUGAGAAAAAAUACUUAAAUAAAAUUAUGUUUGUUAAUUACGAAUUACGCAAAUUGUAUAAAAUAAUGUCACCUGCAUAUGCGCCACAGCUAUUAAAUAUCCAAGAAUAUUCAUUUCCGCAAUUCGAACAAACUAUUAUUGUGCGCUCACUUCACUGUUACAAUUUUUUGUGACAUAUCUAAACUUCCUCGUAUUUAUAAAUUGCGUUCGUCGUCUCGACGUAUCGUAGUGUGGCUCCUAAGAAUAUAACACGUCAUUAUAGAAAAUGUACGAGAACUGUCUGAGAAACAAUAUAUUCGACAGGCCUUCUGAAUUCUUAGGAGUCAUAUCGCUGAAUUCUGUAGAAACGUCUUUUGUGUGGAUGUUAAUUAGUUUUGACAGUUGUUAUAUAAAUUUACAUAAAUAAUUAAAGAUGGACGAUUUUAUUUUUUAAACUCUUUCCUACGUAGUUUAUCAACGUCAUCGGCUUAGUCUGAGUUAUUUAAUUCAUUCUCGUGUGGUUAUUUUUUUUAAAUACAUAUAUCUUUUUAGGGUUCCGUUAGUGAAUGGAAAAUAAUUAAACCUUUUUAAUUAUGUCCUAGGCGUAAAUCUUUCCACAUAUCAGUACAAUAGAAGCGAAAAUUACUUACUUCUACUUUACAAAGUCGGAAGUGUUGGGAAAUUUCUUAAUUCCUAUAAAUGGGUAGAUAAACUCAGAGUCCAUCUGAUGUUAAGUGUUUGGGUGUUAACGACUAAGGAAAUAUCUUCCACCGAACGGGUGAAAUUGCUCGGUAGACCGACGCCGCGACGAACGAAGUUCCUUAUGGGACGAUGCGGAGGAGUACCCUAACCGGGAAAAAACGUCCGUAACGUAAGAUUUUUAGUGUACCACUUAACUUUGUACUAACGUACAAAAACUAACAAUUUUUUAUUAUAUAUUUUUUUUAAAUCAUUGUGAAUAAAAUAAAGUUGAUAACUUUGUAAAUUAGUUUUUAUUUUAUUUUUAUCAAUAAAAAAAUCAUAGUAAAAAAUGUA